GCGGCUGUGGCCUAAUGGAUAAGGCGCCUCCCUCCUAAGGAGGCGGUUGCGGGUUCGAGUCCCGUCAGCUGUU
rnacentral:tRNA from 1 species